CAAUAGCGUAUAUUAAAGUUGUUGCGGUAAAAAAGCUCGUAGUUGGAUUUCUACCGAAGAUAGCCGGUCGGGUCUUCGACCUUGUAUCUGGUUUUGUCUUUGGUAUCCUCAUAGGGAACGUUUCUGCGCUUUAUUGCGUGGUGCGGUAUCUAUGACUUUUACUUUGAGGAAAUUAGAGUGUUCACGGCAGGCAAACGCCUUGAAUAUAUUAGCAUGGAAUAAUAACAUAGGAUCUUCGUCCUAUUUUGUUGGUUUCUAGGGCUAAGAUAAUGGUUAAUAGGGAUAAUUGGGGGCAUCUGUAUCAACGCGUCAGAGGUGGAAUUCUUGGAUUGCGUUGCGACAAACUACUGCGAAAGCAUUUGCCAAGGAUGUUUUCAUUGA
rnacentral:rRNA from 1 species